GUCGGGACGCAGGCCGUUUACUUUGAAAAAAUUAGAGUGUUCAAAGCAGGCCUACGCUUGAAUACAUUAGCAUGGAAUAAUGGAAUAGGACUUUGGUGCCAUUCUGUUGGUUUAUGGAACCGAAGUAAUGAUUAAUAGGGACAGUUGGGGCCGUUUAUAUUUCGUUGUCAGAGGUGAAAUUCUUGGAUUUACGAAAGAUAAACUUCUGCGAAAGCAUUCGGCAAGGAUGUUUUCAUUGAUCAAGAACGAAAGUUAGGGGAUCGAAGACGAUCAGAUACCGUCGUAGUCUUAACCAUAAACUAUGCCGACUAGGGAUCAGUGGAUGUCAAUUUGCGACUCCAUUGGCACCUUGUGAGAAAUCAAAGUUUUUGGGUUCCGGGGGGAGUAUGGUCGCAAGGCUGAAACUUAAAGGAAUUGACGGAAGGGCACCACCAGGAGUGGAGCCUGCGGCUUAAUUUGACUCAACACGGGGAAACUCACCAGGUCCAGACA
rnacentral:rRNA from 1 species